rnacentral:rRNA from 1 species
CGGGGGAACAUCGAGUCUUUGAACGCAAGUUGCGCCCGAUGCCAUUAGGUUGAGGGCACGUCUGCCUGGGUGUCACAUAUCGAAGCCUCCUUGACUAUUGUGCAGGGUGGAUGUUGGCCUCCCGUGAGCUGUUUCGUCUCAUGGUUGGUUGAAAAUUGAGACCUUGGUAGGGUGUGCCAUGAUAGAUGGUGGUUGUGUGACCCACGAGACCAAUCAUGCGCUUCUUCUCUAUUGAAUUCGGCCUCUUUUACCCAUAUGCGUUUCUAAACGCUCGUGAUGAGACCUCAGGUCAGGCGGGACUACCCGCUGAAUUUAAGCAUAUCAAUAAGCGGAGGAAAAGAAACUAACAAGGAUUCCCUUAGUAACGGCGAGCGAACCGGGAUAAGCCCACCAUGAGAAUCGGUCGCCCUCGGCGUUCGAAUUGUAGUUGAAAAAAACCGUCAAAAGG